rnacentral:rRNA from 1 species
CAGUCGCCGCGGUAAUACGAAGGGGGCUAGCGUUGUUCGGAAUUACUGGGCGUAAAGCGCACGUAGGCGGAUAUUUAAGUCAGGGGUGAAAUCCAAGAGCCCAACUCUGGAACUGCCUUUGACACUGGGUAUCUUGAGUAUGGAAGAGGUGAGUGGAAUUCCGAGUGUAGAGGUGAAAUUCGUAGAUAUUCGGAGGAACACCAGUGGCGAAGGCGGCUCACUGGUCCAUUACUGACGCUGAGGUGCGAAAGCGUGGGGAGCAAACAGGAUUAGAUACCCCUGUAGUCCCUGUCUCUUAUAC